rnacentral:siRNA from 1 species
AGAAGUCAGCUCUACAUGAUGAUG